UUAGGUCACUCUCCCUUCCAAAUCGCUCUCAGCCUCUUUCUCACUCUCCAUCGUUCUCAGCCUCUUUCUCACUCCCCAUCGCUCUCAGCCUCAAUCCCGCUCACCCUCUCACCCUUGUCGAGCCUCUCAGCCUCACUCUCACUCAGCCUCGUCUCUCUCCGUCGCGCGCGCCUUCAGUCUCUCCACCACGGGUUCUCUCUCCGUCAGUCUCCCUCAGUCGCGACUCCAUAUCUCUCUCUCUCUCCCCCUCCCCCUUGAGGAUCCACGGGUUCACUCUUCAGCCUCCAUCUCUCUCUCCUUAUUUUGUGACACGGGUUGGGUGCACCGGCGUUGUGUUUUUGGUUGAGGAGAAAGAUGAACGACUCAGAUUGUAAUUUUUAAUAAUAAAAUUCAGGAACUUCCAGGCACAAUUACUAGCUAAUGCACAUGCUGCUUUCUAAUUGGACUUUCUAAUGACAGGUUGAUGUACUUUCCAAGGGGACUAAUUUUAAUUGUAUUGGUGAUUGGGUUGUGGAGGCCACUGUAAAGUAAGAUUAGUUUGCAUGCACAUUUUCUUCUACUUAUUUAUAUAGUAUCUAUUUAAAAGAGUUUCCCUUGGUGCUUGUUUGUUUGCAAUGUUAUGAGCAUUCACCUGACGAGUGCAAAGUCUUUGGUUGGAGUAGUUGGAGUUGCACAAAAGGAAAAGAAGGGGCGGGAUGUGUAUGUUAUGGUGAGCUUCUUGAUGGGAAUUCUGGAAGUUUACUUAGUACUGAGCAGCAAAUCCAUGCUCCAGCUAAUUUAAAAAAGGGCACACACCAAAUGCUUUCACAAGCAAUAUAGUGCUUUUAACAGAUCACACAGUUUUGCUUUUCUGGGUAAGCUUGAAUGUCACUGCCAUCAUAUUUAGAUCUUAACACAAUUUGAUUAGAUACCAUUUGAUUUUAUGGAUAUUUAUCGCUUAUCUUUGAGCUUCUGGUUUGAAUGAAAGUUGAAUCGUAGACUCAAUGUUAGUAGUCUUAAGUUUGAUAUUUGGUUCUUGAGUCUAUUUAGUUGGAAGUGUGAUGCAGCAUUUAGCAUUUUUACUGCUGUGGUUAUCUUACCUAUUGACUAAUGAUCUAUUCUGUCAGUUUAAAUAAUUUCAAGUAGUGGCUUGGGUAAGAUCGGGGUUUUAUUUUUGUCGCUGCUUCGUACUGCUUGGAAUGCUAGAAGAUUUCUAUUUGAACUAUUCCGUAUGAGUUUUUUGAUUUGAGAGCACAACGUUUUUAUUGCGGGCCAUGCAAAUACUGAAAGGCACUUUGCAUUUUGUCUUCAUCAAGAUUGGGUAUCAAGGUGGGCUUUGCUUAAAAAUUAGGAUCAAGAAGGUUGGUAUGCGGAGAUAAUAAUAAAGGCAUAUGGAGAAAGCUUGCCUUGACCACACUGCUGGCUUAGUUGCUGUGCGUAAAUAGUACUAUCGUAUCUAGUAGUUGGUGACUUAUUUUGGUAACCUACUUGAUUGUACAAGAUAGACAAUAUUACUUGCUAGAUUGAGGUUACUUUUGGUUAGGAUUGCUGGAUUUGAUCAUAUCUGGAUAUGGAUAUGUACUUUUGGAAAUGUUUUGGAUUGACAAUGUAAGAACAGAUGGCAUUGAUAUAUGACAAUGUUAUAUUUUGGAUUUGUUCA